rnacentral:lncRNA from 1 species
CUUGAAAAUAAGACUGGCUUUCUUCCAUCUGCUUGCAAGUCUGUCCACCUCAGCCUGCUUUUCCACUCCAGCCUGGGCCGUGACCAUCGCUCUAAGCUCAGCCUUGGGCCUCUGCUGGCUUUGCUGUUGAUCACAGUCUGCACUCAAGGAGUCCUGACUCCUUCUGCAUUCUCAAGGUGCCAUCAACACAAGACAACUCUUCAAACGCGUCACCGCAUCAAGUCUGGAAAGCAUGCAGGGAUUAUCAUUCAGUGUUUGAGGACACUGAAGAUCCGAGAAGUUUGUAAAAUGCCUGAGUUCCCCCCAUGGAGUUAAAGACGAGAAAUGAACCGUGCUUCCAGAACAGCUAUGGGAAACUGAGCGACACAGAAAAAAAAUUACACACUAGCAUCAUACUACAAAUGGAUGUAAUGAAUACCUAUGUACCAA